rnacentral:tRNA from 1 species
GGAGAUGUAGCUCAGUAGGUAGAGUGCUUACCUUAUAUGCACAAGGUCCUGGGUUCAAUCCCCAGCACCA